ensembl:snRNA U2 U2 spliceosomal RNA
UUUGUCCCUUGCCCUCUUGACUAAGAUCAAGUAUAAUAUCUGUUCUUACCAGAUUAAUAUCUGAUACGUUCUCAGUUGAGAGGAAAAUUUUUAUUGGUAAGGUGCUGGAAUGGGCUGCCCAAGGAGAUGAUUGAGUCACUGUCCUUGGAGGUAUC